GAACGCGAAGAACCUUACCAGGUCUUGACAUCCCUCUGACCGCUCUAGAGAUAGAGUUUUCCUUCGGGACAGAGGUGACAGGUGGUGCAUGGUUGUCGUCAGCUCGUGUCGUGAGAUGUUGGGUUAAGUCCCGCAACGAGCGCAACCCCUAUUGUUAGUUGCCAUCAUUGAGUUGGGCACUCUAGCGAGACUGCCGGUAAUAAACCGGAGGAAGGUGGGGAUGACGUCAAAUCAUCAUGCCCCUUAUGACCUGGGCUACACACGCGCUACAAUGGCUGGUACAACGAGUCGCGAGUCGGUGACGGCAAGCUAAUCUCUUAAAGCCAGUCUCAGUUCGGAUUGUAGGCUGCAACUCGCCUACAUGAAGUCGGAAUCGCUAGUAAUCGCGGAUCAGCACGCCGCGGUGAAUACGUUCCCGGGUCUUGUACACACC
rnacentral:rRNA from 1 species